GUUUCACAAAGCUGCGUUUGGCUUCGCCAUCUUUAUCAUCGUAGGCGCAUCCAUAUCCAUCUUGGCCAAUGGUCUCCUUUUUGUUUUUUACGUCAAUCCACUGGAAAUCUUUUGCAACCCAAUAACGUAUUUCCUCGUCGGUUGAGCCAUUGUCGACUUAUUAACAGCGCUGGUUCAUGAACCCAUAUUCGCCACUUGCUUCAUGUUGCUGCACUUUCAACAUCCUGCCAGUAUGAAACGGGCACUUUUCAUGCGCAUUGGUGCGCAAAUCGGUGGUUUUACUAUGACUAUAUCGUUGUUAAUCGUCUUCGCCUUCACCCUGACGCAGUAUAUAUCGUGGUUUCAUUGCCUCUAAAGUACGGCCGCCUUGUCACCAAGAAGAAAGUCCUGAUCAGUGUUGCAGUCAUCUGUCUUUACUCAGCAACCUUCUGGUGUCUUCAAUUGAUGGGUUAUUAUGGAUCUCUUCAUCCACGGCUACCUGGCAGCCUUCGCCAUUAUCUUCAUCUACAUUCUUUUACAUCGCGCCAUGCGAAAGAAGAUGGUAGCAGGAAAAGUCCUUCAAGGCCAAACGGGAACAAAGGACAACGGUAACCAUUUUCAAGUGCAGCGCAAUACACCGAUUCUAGAAAAAAACCGGAAGUUGCACGCAAGCGAGGCUUAAUAGCCCUCGAGCUUUCAAAAUGGCGGACGAAAUGCUGGGGAAGAACGAAAAAAUUCGAAUGUAUGUAGGUUAGAGCUACUUGUCUGGAGCAAAUGUGGUAAA